UUGAAUCUUGCUUUGACUUACCAGGACUCCUCAGUUCAGCUUCUCAAAAUGAGGUUCCCUGCUCAGCUCCUUGGGCUGCUAAUGCUUUGGUUCCCUGGAUCCAGUGGGGAAAUCGUGAUGACACAGACCCCACUCUCCCGGCCCAUCACCCCUGGAGAGCCGGUCUCCAUCUCCUGCAGGGCCAGUCAGAGCCUCCUACACAGUAAUGGAAACACUUGUUUGCAUUGGUUCCGGCAGAAGCCAGGCCAGUCUCCACAGAGCCUGAUCUACCUGGUUUCCAACCGUUACGCUGGGGUCCCAGACAGGUUCAGUGGCAGCGGGUCAGGGACGGAUUUCACCCUGAGAAUCAGCAGGGUGGAGGCUGACGAUGUGGGAGUGUAUUACUGCGGGCAGUAUCUACAGUCUCCUUGCACAGUGGUUCAUGCCCGCACACAAACCUCCCUGCCUGGGGCGUCCAGCUGCCCGAGGGAGUGGCUUCUCUGGGGAAUCACAGGAGAGCCUCUGAGUCUGUGUCAGAGGAAGGAGUUGGAGGACCCGGGGGCGCAGCUUGCAGCUGGGCGAAAGACCCUCGUGUUUUAG